ACCCGCAGAGGAACAGAUGACUGCGCUAUCAAUAAUAUUGAUUAAUACCUCAUCUUCUAAUGCAGCCAGCAGCGACACUCGCGCCUGGCAGUUUAUCUGGAGCGACGUCCUGACGUGGGGCAUCAGCAGCUGUCCAUCCAAUCAGAGAAGAGAAGACAGAUCAUUACAGGACAACAGCUCUACGUCGCCAUCUGCUGUUCGAAGCCACCUGUCGCACAGGAACACCUGUGGUUCUGGAUCUGCAGGUUCUGACCCCUCUCCUC